rnacentral:lncRNA from 1 species
CUGACAGAAGGAGCAAUUGAGGAUAGAGUGGUUCUACCCGUAACAAAAGAGAAGAUUUGAAGAAAGCCUGAGGAGAAGGAUGCAGCAGUUUGGCUAAAAGACCUGGGGGAAAAAGGAAAAUUGGAAAUCAAUAUUUAUUGGGAACACUUGCAUACAAGGAAAAUACUUUUGUGCCUCACUUCUCAAUUCCAGUUGACACUGACACUGUUUUGGGCGGAGCUGUGCACUUCCUCUGAGCCUGGUCAGUUUUGUAUGAUCCAAGCUGAUAGUGUGAAGCCACG